CAUCCCAGCCAGUGUGACAUCAUCACAAUCUAGUGUGACACCCCCAGAGAUUGGGCAGCGCGCAGAGAGGCAGUGUCUACCCGGGAAGCCACCCUGCUGGCGAGGAAUUACCCCAGUUUAGGCUUUAACGUUACGUUGCAGUCUAGAGACGUUCUAGCAGAGUGGCCUCCGUGUACGGGAUCUGGAAGCCUCCAUGUACAUCAGGAGCCCUUUACGGGGCUCUUGCACUGCCGCCUUCGGAACCUGUGUUUGCAUUACGAGGUGAGAAAGAGCAGCUGUGCUCUGGACCCAACACCUCAAAACGAGCAGAGAGCGAAUGCUGCAGCAAUGUUCUUGCCUCUACCAAGAGGUACUAAGACUGGGGGUAUUCAGGAAACGAAGUGCUUUGGGCAUACAACAUUCUGAAAAAAUAAACACUUAUAAAAACUAGGUUAUCCUAAAAGAAAGACUAUUGCCAUCUCCCAGAGUCAGGAGACUGUAGGACUUCAGAUGUACCUCCCGCUGUGUAAAAUGUUCUUGUUCCUAAAGUAAGGACCAUUUUCUAUCCCGGGAGUGCUGGAGGCAGCAAUGAUCUGAGCCCUACAAAGUGACUGGCCAGCACCACGGGUGUCUGCAUAUGCUCUUUGAAGGAGGGGACAGAUGUGGGAAUUUAGAGAACAUGAAGUUCUACAUUGGGCUGACCUGGGAAACAUCAAAAUAUGGAGAGUGGGCAAGUAUGCCCAGUUGGGGAGCCAGGAAAAAGUCAGAACCUAAACUCUGGUGUGGAACUGAUCCUGCUCAAAAAAAAAAAAAAAAAAAAAAAAAAA